UAAGGUCUUGGAUGAUUUUGUUCAAUUCC
rnacentral:piRNA from 1 species